rnacentral:rRNA from 1 species
UACGGAGGAUGCGAGCGUUAUCCGGAUUUAUUGGGUUUAAAGGGUGCGCAGGCGGAGGUGCAAGUCAGCGGUCAAAUUGCGGGGCUCAACCCUGUCGAGCCGUCGGAACUGGCAGUCUUGAGUGGGCGAGAAGUAUGCGGAAUGCGUGGUGUAGCGGUGAAAUGCAUAGAUAUCACGCAGAACUCCGAUUGCGAAGGCAGCAUACCGGCGCGCAACUGACGCUCAUGCACGAAAGCGUGGGUAUCGAACAGG